UGAAUCUCAAGAGCUUUAAAAUAACACCAUUAGCAAAGUUAUGGUAGAGAACUUCCAUAAACUCACUCUGAGCUUUGCGUGUCUGCUAGUCCAGAACUCAUACAAAUAUAUAUUUGCAAUAUUUUUGGCCAUUCUGUUACUAACCAAAAUCAAGAAUAUGCAACUGCAUCUUCCACUGUGUUCUGUAAUUCUUUUGUUAUCUUCCAUAUCGAAGGGCCGUCAUUCUCAAAGCAAACUUGUGGAUGCCUAGAUUCAGUCAGCAUUUGGCCUUGUCAGUGAACCCAAGUUGGGCAGCUGCUCCGUUCAAAGAUUGACAUUGGGAAUGAGAGAGAGAGAGAAACUACAUCCUACACAUUAAGUGAACAUACUCUUGAAAGUAAAACGGACGCUAAAGGUUAACUAGUCAAUAGCUUGGUUUAAGUUAUGACCUCUUUAUCCUGAAAAAAACAAAACAGCUUAAAACAGCCUAAGGUCAUCAAGCUGGUUUCUGGCUGGCAGACUAGUGAGACUAGCAAAACCAGCUUGAACCAGCUACAAUGAGACUAGCAAACCAUUUUGGAUUGAUAUAAGUUAUUUUUAAUAAAAUAUUCCUGCACAUCAGUAAUGUUGUCCAGCAUCACUAAUGUUUUUUAUUUUCUUAUUUUUUAAUGACUACACCAUCCACUAAGUCUAAUGGGGUGAAAACAAAACAAAAAAACCCUGAACAACCUUUUAACAGAGAACACACAAGGCUGUAGUAGAAACCUUACACUACUGUAGAACUGAACAUUACUUUGCAGAGCGGGCCGGGCACUGAACACGCACACGAUAAAUGCCAUAACAGCAAGAUACAUAUUUCUGUACUAACAAAGGCUUGGUUUGAUAGGCAAACAUGAUGUACUGUAUUGUGCAAUACAUCAUUACAGGAACAGGCAUUGUUUGAAUAGGAAAGGUUGGUGUGUUAAAGAAUUUUUAUUUUUUCUCUUUUUCAAGGUCCUGUUAUCAUUCUCUAGACGAUGUGAACUGUGCCAGGAGAGUUUUAUUUAUUUAUUGCAUGCUCUUUCCCCUUUUGCAAUUCCCUCACCCUCUGUGCGCUUUGUUGGACAUGUGAUGCUGUAAACAUUCUAAAUCAGGUUAUUGUCUGUGUUGAGAUACGUAUCUGUGUAAUUAAAAAAAGGCAGUGA
ensembl:lncRNA